rnacentral:rRNA from 1 species
AUUGAACGCUGGCGGCAGGCCUAACACAUGCAAGUCGAACGAGUGGCGGAAGGGUGAGUAAUGUCUGGGAAACUGCCCGAUGGAGGGGGAUAACUACUGGAAACGGUAGCUAAUACCGCAUACCAUCGGAUGUGCCCAGAUGGGAUUAGCUAGUCGGGGGGGUAACGGCUCACCUAGGCGACGAUCCCUAGCUGGUCUGAGAGGAUGACCAGCCACACUUGAACGUAGACAAGGUCCAGACGCCUACGGAAGGCAACAGUGGGGAAUAUGGCACAAUGGGCGCAAGCCUGAUGCAGACAUGCCGCGUGUAUGAAGAAGGCCUUCGGGUUGUAAAGUACUUUCAGCGAGGAGGCGUGACUCGCAGAAGAAGCACCGGCUAACUCCGUGCCAGCAGCCGCGGUAAUUC